GCUAUACAUGCAGUCGAACGCUUCUUUUUCCACCGGAGCUUGCUCCACCGGAAAAAGAGGAGUGGCGAACGGGUGAGUAACACGUGGGUAACCUGCCCAUCAAAAGGGGAUAACACUUGGAAACAGGUGCUAAUACCGUAUAACAAUCAAAACCGCAUGGUUUUGAUUUGAAAGGCGCUUUCGGGUGUCGCUGAUGGAUGGACCCGCGGUGCAUUAGCUAGUUGGUGAGGUAACGGCUCACCAAGGCCACGAUGCAUAGCCGACCUGAGAGGGUGAUCGGCCACAUUGGGACUGAGACACGGCCCAAACUCCUACGGGAGGCAGCAGUAGGGAAUCUUCGGCAAUGGACGAAAGUCUGACCGAGCAACGCCGCGUGAGUGAAGAAGGUUUUCGGAUCGUAAAACUCUGUUGUUAGAGAAGAACAAGGAUGAGAGUAACUGUUCAUCCCUUGACGGUAUCUAACCAGAAAGCCACGGCUAACUACGUGCCAGCAGCCGCGGUAAUACGUAGGUGGCAAGCGUUGUCCGGAUUUAUUGGGCGUAAAGCGAGCGCAGGCGGUUUCUUAAGUCUGAUGUGAAAGCCCCCGGCUCAACCGGGGAGGGUCAUUGGAAACUGGGAGACUUGAGUGCAGAAGAGGAGAGUGGAAUUCCAUGUGUAGCGGUGAAAUGCGUAGAUAUAUGGAGGAACACCAGUGGCGAAGGCGGCUCUCUGGUCUGUAACUGACGCUGAGGCUCGAAAGCGUGGGG
rnacentral:rRNA from 1 species